GCUGGCUUAGCUCAAUGGUAGAGCAUUCCCUUCGUAAGGGAAAGGUUAUGAGUUCAAAUCUCAUAGCCAGCU
rnacentral:tRNA from 1 species